CUCUCUCUCUCUCAAUUUCAAUUAAGUUCAAUUCGCUUUAUUGGCAUGAUCAGAACAAUGUACAUAUUGCAAAGCUUAUUUUGGAUAUUUACAAUCUCUCUCUCUCCUUUUCUCUCUCUGUCUCCUUGUCUCUCUCCUUUCUCUCUCUCUCUCUCUUUCACUCUCGCUGAUGAGAGGGGAUGUGCUCCUUUGAGAGAGCUCAACCACUGUGGAUGUGUAUAUGUGUGUGUGUGUGUGUGUGUGUUUGUAGUGGCUCUGACAGGGUGAGAUCUCCCAGAAGAGUGCCAGGGGAAAGGGAGGAUGAAGCCUGGGAGGGUUUUAACAGAGCAACAGCAGGGUUGGAGCACCGAGCAGAGAGCAUGUCCCCUUAUGUCUAAAUCUAAUCAUAUGUUAUUGGUCACAUACACAUGGUUAGCAGAUGUUAUUGAUCACAUACACAUGGUUAGCAGAUGUUAUUGGUCACAUACACAUGGUUAGCAGAUGUUAUUGGUCACAUACACAUGGUUAGCAGAUGUUAUUGGUCACAUACACAUGGUUAGCAGAUGUUAUUGGUCACAUACACAUGGUUAGCAGAUGUUAUUGGUCACAUGGUUAGCAGAUGUUAUUGAUCACAUACACAUGGUUAGCAGAUGUUAUUGAUCACAUACACAUGGUUAGCAGAUGUUAUUGGUCACAUGGUUAGCAGAUGUUAUUGGUCACAUACACAUGGUUAGCAGAUGUUAUUGGUCACAUACACAUGGUUAGCAGAUGUUAU
ensembl:lncRNA